AUGGAUUCCAAGAAGACCACCGUGCCCACACUUGCCUUCGUCGUGGCGCUGCUGCUCUCAUGCACUGGCAUGAUCAGCGCGGCACGGUACCUUGAAGAGAAGGCGCCACAGGAGGAGCACCUGCCGAGUCCUACGGCGCCUGAGGUGUCGAAGAUGCCUGAACUGCCACAUCCAGUUGUGGAUGAGGUGCCGAAGAUUCCAGAAAUGCCGUACCCCACCAUUCCAAAGAUGCCAGAGCUGCCGCACCCUACUGUUCCAGAGCUACCAAAGCCUGAGGUGCCAAAGAUGCCUGAAGCGUCGCACCCCACCACAAUGGAGCAACCGAAGCCUGAAAUCCCACAUACCGUUGUUCCUGAGAUGCCAAAGACGCCUGAAGUGCCACACCUUACCAUGCCGGAGGUAUCGAAGAUGCCCGAACUGCCACACCCAAUUGUAUCAGAGGUGCCACGCCCUACCAUGCCAGAGGUGCCAAAGAUGCCCGAACUACCACACCCAAACGUACCAGAGGUGCCCAAGAUGCCCAAAGUGCCACACCCUACAACGCCGGAAGUGCCACACCAUGUUGUACCAGAAAUGCCCCAUCUGAUUGUACCGGAGGUGCCAAAGAUACCUGAAGUCUCGCACCUUCUUGCGCCUGAGGCACCUAAGACCGAGCUAGAACACCCUCCUACGCCAGAGGUGCCAAAGAUGCCAGAGAUACCAGAGAUACCACACCCUGCAAUAGAUGAGAUGCCAAAGAUUCCUGAAGUACCUCACAUCGACGUACUAGAGGUGUCUAAGCCUGAAGUCCCACACCCAGCUGCACCAGAGGGGCCAAAGGGCAAAUCACACUACCCGAAGACGGAGGCUAAACCAUGA
rnacentral:rRNA from 1 species